rnacentral:rRNA from 1 species
CACAUGCAAGUCGAACGGCAGCACGGGAGCAAUCCUGGUGGCGAGUGGCGAACGGGUGAGUAAUACAUCGGAACGUGCCCAGUAGUGGGGGAUAGCCCGGCGAAAGCCGGAUUAAUACCGCAUACGACCUACGGGUGAAAGCGGGGGAUCGCAAGACCUCGCGCUAUUGGAGCGGCCGAUGUCAGAUUAGCUAGUUGGCGGGGUAAAAGCCCACCAAGGCGACGAUCUGUAGCUGGUCUGAGAGGACGACCAGCCACACUGGGACUGAGACACGGCCCAGACUCCUACGGGAGGCAGCAGUGGGGAAUUUUGGACAAUGGGCGCAAGCCUGAUCCAGCCAUGCCGCGUGCGGGAAGAAGGCCUUCGGGUUGUAAACCGCUUUUGUCAGGGAAGAAACGGCCUGAUCUAAUAAAUCG